UACGUAGGGGGCCAGCGUUGUCCGAAGUUACUGGGCGUAAAGGGUGCGUAGGCGGGGCUUUAUGUCAGGGGUGAAAUCCUGGAGCUCAACUCCAGAACUGCCUUUGAUACUGAGGAUCUUGAGUUCGGGAGAGGUGAGUGGAACUGCGAGUGUAGAGGUGAAAUUCGUAGAUAUUCGCAAGAACACCAGUGGCGAAGGCGGCUCACUGGCCCGAUACUGACGCUGAGGCACGAAAGCGUGGGGAGCAAACAGG
rnacentral:rRNA from 1 species